GAUGAACGCUAGCGGGAGGCCUAACACAUGCAAGUCGAGGGGCAGCACGUCUUCGGAUGGUGGCGACCGGCGAACGGGUGCGUAACGCGUAUGCAACCUACCCUUAACAGGAGAAUAGCCCAGAGAAAUUUGGAUUAAUACUCCAUAGUAUUACAGAUUCGCAUGUUUCUGUAAUUAAAGUUCCAGCGGUUAAGGAUGGGCAUGCGUGACAUUAGCUUGUUGGUGAGGUAACGGCUCACCAAGGCAACGAUGUCUAGGGGUUCUGAGAGGAUGAUCCCCCCANACUGGUACUGAGACACGGACCAGACUCCUACGGGAGCAGCAGUGAGGAAUAUUGGACAAUGGAGGCAACUCUGAUCCAGCCAUCCCGCGUGCAGGAAGACGGCCCUAUGGGUUGUAAACUGCUUUUAUACAGGAAUAAACCCCUCUACGUGUAGAGGGCUGAAGGUACUGUAAGAAUAAGCACCGGCUAACUCCGUGCCAGCAGCCGCGGUAAAG
rnacentral:rRNA from 1 species